GACAGAGGGUGCGAGCGUUGUUCGGAAUUACUGGGCGUAAAGCGCGCGUAGGCGGCCGAUUAAGUCGGGUGUGAAAGCCCGGGGCUCAACCCCGGAAUGGCGCUCGAAACUGGUCGGCUUGAGUGUCGGAGAGGGUGGUGGAAUUCCUGGUGUAGAGGUGAAAUUCGUAGAUAUCAGGAGGAACACCUGUGGCGAAGGCGACCACCUGGACGAUUACUGACGCUGAGGUGCGAAAGCGUGGGGAGCAAACAGG
rnacentral:rRNA from 1 species